rnacentral:rRNA from 1 species
UACGGAGGGGGCUAGCGUUGUUCGGAAUUACUGGGCGUAAAGCGCACGUAGGUGGCUUUGUAAGUUAGAGGUGAAAGCCCGGGGCUCAACCCCGGAAUUGCCCUUAAGACUGCAUCGCUUGAGUUGUGGAGAGGUGAGUGGAAUUCCGAGUGUAGAGGUGAAAUGCGUAGAUAUGCGGAAGAACACCAGUGGCGAAGGCGACUCACUGGACACAUAUUGACACUGAGGUGCGAAAGCGUGGGGAGCAAACAGG